UGCAGAAAUUGCUUCCUAGUCCCCGGCUAACACGUGUUCUUUCAGUGGGUCUAAAGGAAUGCCUACAAACUAUUGGCGGUAAAGAAAGGAUUGUUGUGGAAUCUUUGGGGUGUCGAUUUUCUUCCCGGAAAACUCGGUGGUCAGUGGCACUUUCUUGAGUCCAGAAGAAUGAAGUAAGCAGACGUAUGAAGGGCGAACAAGGUGAAGAUGAGCUUUAUUAAGUGUUACAGCAGCUUGGAGGAGACCGCAGUGGGCAGGUGCACUCUGCAGCAGGUCAGCCGUGGGCCCUACUCUGGCUGAGCCCAGGGCUUUUAUGGAGCUCAGAGGGGAGGAAGUGCGAAGGGCCCGUGGGCGCCACGGGCAGGCCGGAAGAGGCACCCCAAGUCCCCACUCUGGUCUGCCGCCUAACAACCCAGCUGCAGCCUCCAGCCUCUCCCUGGCCUGAGGUGGGGCCUUGCUGGGGGCCCACCCCUUCCGCCCGGGGUCCGCCCCUUCGUCCUGGGGGUCCGCCCCUUCCGCCCGGGGGUCCGCCCCUUCCUCCUGGGGGUCCGCCCCUUCCGCCCGGGGGUCUGUCUGCCUCCCCUCCCGCUGCGGUUCGCGGGCCCCUGGGGCUCGUCCUGACCGGCGUUCUGAGACUGGGGCAGCCAGGAGGGAAGACAGUCCGGGCGGCUGAGCAGACCCCGAGCCUCAUAUACUGGGGCCAAGCAGUUGGGCUUGAGAGUCUUGAGCUGCCUGCAGAAAGUGUCCAGGAAAUUUGAGAAGAUGCAAGCAAAGCAUCGUGGUGAAAAGGUAGGCUCAGUGUUUGUCUGCCUUCAUACAGGUGCUCAUUCCCCCUUGCCGCUUGAAGUCCAGGCACUUCUCUCUUUUUCCCAGUUUUUCAGGUCUUAUACCUUCCUAUUAUAAGGUAAGCAAUUCAUAAAUGAAAUUUCAAAAAGAUUAAGUAUGCCCUCCAACCGCAUGACUAUGAAGUAAAGAGGGGUUCUGAUUUUUAAUUUAAUAAAGCUUGUAUAUUGUUUUAGAAAAUUAGCUUU
rnacentral:lncRNA from 13 species